GCACCCGUAGCUCAGCUGGAUAGAGCGUCAGCCUCCGGAGCUGAAGGUCAGAGGUUCAAACCCUCUCGGGUGCA
rnacentral:tRNA from 2 species